rnacentral:rRNA from 1 species
GCGUGGGUGAAGAAGGCCCUCGGGUUGUAAAGCCCUUUCGGCGGGGAAGACAAUGACGGUACCCGCAGAAGAAGCCCCGGCUAACUCCGUGCCAGCAGCCGCGGUAAUACGGAGGGGGCUAGCGUUGUUCGGAAUUACUGGGCGUAAAGCGCGCGCAGGCGGUUGCUCAAGUCGGGCGUGAAAUCCCGGGGCUCAACCCCGGAACUGCGUUCGAGACUGGGCGACUCGAGUCCGGGAGAGGGUAGCGGAAUUCCCAGUGUAGAGGUGAAAUUCGU